AUACGUAGGUGGCAAGCGUUGUCCGGAUUUACUGGGCGUAAAGGGUAUGUAGGCGGAUAUUUAAGUCAGAUGUGAAAUUCCCGGGCUUAACCUGGGAGCUGCAUUUGAUACUGGAUAUCUAGAGUGCGGGAGAGGAAAGUGGAAUUCCUAGUGUAGCGGUGAAAUGCGUAGAUAUUAGGAGGAACACCAGUGGCGAAGGCGGCUUACUGGACUGUAACUGACGUUGAGG
rnacentral:rRNA from 1 species